rnacentral:rRNA from 1 species
AGAAUCAACGCUGGCGGCGUGCCUAACACAUGCAAGUCGAACGAGAAAGUGGGAGCAAUCCCACGAGUAAAGUGGCGCACGGGUGAGUAACACGUGACUAACCUACCCUUGAGUGGGGGAUAACCUAGGGAAACCUGGGCUAAUACCGCAUAAUACCUACGGGUCAAAGGAGCAAUUCGCUUAAAGAGGGGGUCGCGGCAGAUUAGUUAGUUGGCGGGGUAAUGGCCCACCAAGACAGUGAUCUGUAUCCGGCCUGAGAGGGCGCACGGACACACUGGAACUGAAACACGGUCCAGACUCCUACGGGAGGCAGCAGUGGGGAAUUUUGCGCAAUGGGGGAAACCCUGACGCAGCAACGCCGCGUGGAGGAUGAAGCCCCUUGGGGCGUAAACUCCUUUCGAUCGGGAAGAUAAUGACGGUACCGGAAGAAGAAGCCCGGCUAACUUCGCGCCAGCAGCCGC